GGAGACGUGGCCGAGUGGUCGAAGGCACACCCCUGCUAAGGGUGCAUCCGGGCAAAACCUGGAUCGAGGGUUCGAAUCCCUCCGUCUCCGCCA
rnacentral:tRNA from 1 species